GGUAAGGUAACGGCUUACCAAGGCGACGAUCUCUAGCUGUUCUGAGAGGAAGAUCAGCCACACUGGGACUGAGACACGGCCCAGACUCCUACGGGAGGCAGCAGUGGGGAAUAUUGCACAAUGGGGGAAACCCUGAUGCAGCCAUGCCGCGUGUGUGAAGAAGGCCUUCGGGUUGUAAAGCACUUUCAGUUGUGAGGAAAAGUUAGUAGUUAAUACCUGCUAGCCGUGACGUUAACAACAGAAGAAGCACCGGCUAACUCCGUGCCAGCAGCCGCGGUAAUACGGAGGGUGCGAGCGUUAAUCGGAAUUACUGGGCGUAAAGCGCACGCAGGCGGUUUGUUAAGCUAGAUGUGAAAGCCCCGGGCUCAACCUGGGAUGGUCAUUUAGAACUGGCAGACUAGAGUCUUGGAGAGGGGAGUGGAAUUCCAGGUGUAGCGGUGAAAUGCGUAGAUAUCUGGAGGAACAUCAGUGGCGAAGGCGACUCCCUGGCCAAAGACUGACGCUCAUGUGCGAAAGUGUGGGUAGCGAACAGGAUUAGAUACCCUGGUAGUCCACACCGUAAACGCUGUCUACUAGCUGUGUGUGUCUUUAAGACGUGCGUAGCGAAGCUAACGCGCUAAGUAGACCGCCUGGGGAGUACGGCCGCAAGGUUAAAACUCAAAUGAAUUGACGGGGGCCCGCACAAGCGGUGGAGCAUGUGGUUUAAUUCGAUGCAACGCGAAGAACCUUACCUACACUUGACAUGCUGAGAAGUUACUAGAGAUAGUUUCGUGCCUUCGGGAACUCAGACACAGGUGCU
rnacentral:rRNA from 1 species